rnacentral:tRNA from 2 species
GCGCCCUUAGCUCAGCUGGAUAGAGUACCUCCCUUCUAAGGAGGUGGUCGAAGGUUCGAAUCCUUCAGGGCGUGCCA